rnacentral:rRNA from 1 species
AGAGUUUGAUCCUGGCUCAGGAUGAACGCUAGCGGCAGGCUUAAUACAUGCAAGUCGAGGGGCAACGCAGUGUAGCAAUACAUGGGCGGCGACCGGCAAACGGGUGCGGAACACGUACACAACCUUCCUAUAAGUGGAGGAUAGCCCAGAGAAAUUUGGAUUAAUACCCCGUAAGAUAACGAUGUGGCAUCAUAUUGUUAUUAAAGCUACGGCGCUUAUUGACGGGUGUGCGGCUGAUUAGAUAGUUGGCGGGGUAAUGGCCCACCAAGUCUACGAUCAGUAGCUGAUGUGAGAGCAUGAUCAGC